CAGUUUUUAGGAGAAAUCUUGAAUGUAAACUCUACCCCUCCCAACCAGUUUUCCCCUCAGCUCCUCCUCUCCCCUCCCUCUCUGCUCCAGCAAGCCCCGCCCACAAACAGACGCUCCUGCUCGCUCGUAUCGUUCCAAUUAAAUUCAGAUAUAAUGCAGAUAAAUACUUCAGAUCAUUACAAAUGGGGCCCAGUCAAGGUGAAAGUCAAAAGCAUUGGUGCUACUGUAGAUGCCAACAGACUACCAGCAAACACAAUGUUUGCAGGACUUCUACAACAAGGAUAAAGUGACAUAGUCCAGGACCCGAGGGAGGACAGUUUAGCGAUGGCGCUACAACACGCUACAGCAGGUCCGUUUGACAAGAAACACUUCUGUUACAGACACUUGUCUUACUUUGUUAAAGCGGUUUACCUGUCCAGCAGAAAGGUUACAGGGUCACCAAGAUCCCCAAGCGUCCCCCAUUGUUUAUGUUGACCCGGCUUUUUAGCUCUUGUCCGGUCUACCUCCGUUUUAAGCGCCCGUUAUUCCUCCAGAGUCUCCGGUAUUUACUUUGUUUUCUUGCUU